CUUCGCUUUUUCUGAACUUUCACGUGUCCAGCGUUGCCGGCAGUCCGAACGCGGCUUCCAACCGUGUAGGCGUUUGUCCGUAGCGCACCCGCGGUACCCGAUCCUGCCCCCCCCCUCUGGAUGCCUGCUGGAUGCCAGACCCGGGCUGAAGCCCAUCCUUUGACUCCGGUUGCCAUGGAAACCGCAUCACAAGCGGUUGAACAAGGACCACUCAGUAGAGAAAUGAAAACGAUCAGCAGCUGGCACGCAGGACCCUACGUGAGCGGAGAUGAGGGUCUGACCGCACAGAGAGAGGAGUGAGGCGGUUAAUCCCCGCCCACAUGCAAACGCACAUCGCUCUUCUGAACAACGGGCUUGGACAGACCUGCAUCAACAGCAGAUUGCACUAUGCUGGAGGAAAGACGCUGAUGAUUCGAAAACAAGUACACUUACGGCCUGUGGGCUCUACAGCCCUCUCUAACUGCGCUGUCACACAAUGUGGAAUGGCUCCUGUGCACAGGCAAGGUCGCCACCUGCUGGCCAGACGCUGUUCUUUCACAUUUUCCUCCGGCGUGAUUUCACAUGAUGUUACUGAAUGCUGACCACACCCAGAAAUGACCAUUUCCUGGAGCUCAGAUGACUUGAGAGUUGUAAUACUUUGUAACUCCGGCCUACCAAAUGCCACUUUUCCAACAAUUUGUCUCAUUCAAUGUGUCUUAUGGGAACAAUCAGAGCCUACAUAUUUCCAACAGGCUGACACAUUUGUGGACAUAUUUUUCACACACAUUGUGUCAUCCAUCUGGCUGGACUGAUAAGAUGACUUUGUACCACAUCAUGAAAGUCAAGAGCCAACAGCCAAGAGCUUCUCUCCAAAUCACUCCACUUGAUCUGCAAUCACCUAAAGGAAAUAAACAAAUGGAAAAGUU